UAGGGAAUCUUCCGCAAUGGACGAAAGUCUGACGGAGCAACGCCGCGUGAGUGAAGAAGGUUUUCGGAUCGUAAAACUCUGUUGUCAGAGAAGAACAAGUUGGAGAGUAACUGCUCCAGCCUUGACGGUAUCUGACCAGAAAGCCACGGCUAACUACGUGCCAGCAGCCGCGGUAAUACGUAGGUGGCAAGCGUUGUCCGGAUUUAUUGGGCGUAAAGCGAGCGCAGGCGGUUCCUUAAGUCUGAUGUGAAAGCCCACGGCUCAACCGUGGAAGGUCAUUGGAAACUGGGGAACUUGAGUGCAGAAGAGGAGAGUGGAAUUCCAUGUGUAGCGGUGAAAUGCGUAGAUAUAUGGAGGAACACCAGUGGCGAAGGCGACUCUCUGGUCUGUAACUGACGC
rnacentral:rRNA from 1 species